CGGGUGACGGGGAAUCAGGGUUCGAUUCCGGAGAGGGAGCCUGAGAAAUGGCUACCACUUCUACGGAAGGCAGCAGGCGCGCAAAUUACUCAAUCCCAAUACGGGGAAGUAGUGACAAAAAAUACUAAUGCCCUUCCAUUUUAUGGGGGGCAAUUGGAAUAAGUACAACUUAAAUCGCUUAGCAAAAGUGAUUGGAGGGCAAGUCUGGUGCCAGCAGCCGCGGUAAUUCCAGCUCCAAUAGCGUAUACUAAAUUUGUUGCAGUUAAAAAGCUCGUAGUUGAGAUUGAGAUUUCUUAGGUUUAAAGCUUCUAUUUUUAGCUUCGGUUAAAUUUUAGUUGUGUAUAAAGCUUUUUAGUAGACUUUUGUUUGCUAUUAAAGUUACUAAGAAAUUUCUUUCUGCCCAUGAUUUAGGUUCGCCCCUGAAUCAAUCGGGUGUUCUACUGUGAGAAAAUUGUAGUGUUUAAAGCAGGCGUAUUAGUUUGUUCAAUGCAGCAUGGUAUAGUAAAACAAGACACUAAACAUUUGUUGGUUAAUGUUCUAUAGUGUAAUGACUAAUAGGGAAGGGCGGGGCCGU
rnacentral:rRNA from 1 species